rnacentral:rRNA from 1 species
UGGGGAAUAUUGGACAAUGGGCGCAAGCCUGAUCCAGCAAUGCCGCGUGUGUGAAGAAGGCCUGCGGGUUGUAAAGCACUUUAAGCAGGAAAGAAGGCUUCGGAGCUAAUAUCUUCGAAGAUUGACGUUACCUGCAGAAUAAGCACCGGCUAACUCCGUGCCAGCAGCCGCGGUAAUACGGAGGGUGCGAGCGUUAAUCGGAAUUACUGGGCGUAAAGCGCGCGUAGGCGGUUUGCUAAGUCCGCUGUGAAAGCCCUGGGCUUAACCUGGGAACUGCAGUGGAUACUGGCAGGCUAGAGUAUGGUAGAGGAGAGUGGAAUUUCCGGUGUAGCAGUGAAAUGCGUAGAGAUCGGAAGGAACACCAGUGGCGAAGGCGGCUCUCUGGACCAAUACUGACGCU